GUUAUAUGGUCAAGUGAAGAAGCGCAUACGGUGGAUGCCUUGGCAGUCAGAGGCGAUGAAAGACGUGGUAGCCUGCGAUAAGCUUUGGGGAGUCGGCAAACAGACUGUGAUCCAGAGAUCUCUGAAUGGGGGAACCCACUCAGCAUAAGCUGAGUAUCUUGUACUGAAUACAUAGGUGCAAGAGGCGAACCAGGGGAACUGAAACAUCUAAGUACCCUGAGGAAAAGAAAUCAACCGAGAUUCCCUUAGUAGUGGCGAGCGAACGGGGACCAGCCCUUAAGCUGGUUUGAGAUUAGUGGAACGCUCUGGAAAGUGCGGCCAUAGUGGGUGAUAGCCCCGUACACGAAAAUCUCUUGCCAGUGAAAUCGAGUAGGACGGAGCACGAGAAACUUUGUCUGAACAUGGGGGGACCAUCCUCCAAGGCUAAAUACUACUGACUGACCGAUAGUGAACCAGUACCGUGAGGGAAAGGCGAAAAGAACCCCGGAGAGGGGAGUGAAAUAGAACCUGAAACCGUAUGCGUACAAGCAGUGGGAGCCUACUUUGUUAGGUGACUGCGUACCUUUUGUAUAAUGGGUCAGCGACUUAUAUUCAGUGGCGAGCUUAACCGAAUAGGGGAGGCGUAGCGAAAGCGAGUCUUAAUAGGGCGCUUUAGUCGCUGGGUAUAGACCCGAAACCGGGCGAUCUAUCCAUGGGCAGGUUGAAGGUUAGGUAACACUGACUGGAGGACCGAACCGACUACCGUUGAAAAGUUAGCGGAUGACCUGUGGAUCGGAGUGAAAGGCUAAUCAAGCUCGGAGAUAGCUGGUUCUCCUCGAAAGCUAUUUAGGUAGCGCCUCAUGUAUCACUGUAGGGGGUAGAGCACUGUUUCGGCUAGGGGGUCAUCCCGACUUACCAAACCGAUGCAAACUCCGAAUACCUACAAGUGCCGAGCAUGGGAGACACACGGCGGGUGCUAACGUCCGUCGUGAAAAGGGAAACAACCCAGACCGUCAGCUAAGGUCCCAAAGUCAUGGUUAAGUGGGAAACGAUGUGGGAAGGCUUAGACAGCUAGGAGGUUGGCUUAGAAGCAGCCAUCCUUUAAAGAAAGCGUAAUAGCUCACUAGUCGAGUCGGCCUGCGCGGAAGAUGUAACGGGGCUCAAACCAUGCACCGAAGCUACGGGUGUCACCUCUGGUGACGCGGUAGAGGAGCGUUCUGUAAGCCUGUGAAGGUGAGUUGAGAAGCUUGCUGGAGGUAUCAGAAGUGCGAAUGCUGACAUGAGUAACGACAAUGCGAGUGAAAAACUCGCACGCCGAAAGACCAAGGUUUCCUGCGCAACGUUAAUCGACGCAGGGUUAGUCGGUCCCUAAGGCGAGGCUGAAAAGCGUAGUCGAUGGAAAACAGGUUAAUAUUCCUGUACUUCCAGUUAUUGCGAUGGAGGGACGGAGAAGGCUAGGCCAGCUUGGCGUUGGUUGUCCAAGUUUAAGGUGGUAGGCUGAGAUCUUAGGCAAAUCCGGGAU
rnacentral:rRNA from 1 species